AUUGAACGCUGGCGGCAGGCCUAACACAUGCAAGUCGAGCGGCAGCGGGAAGUAGCUUGCUACUUUGCCGGCGAGCGGCGGACGGGUGAGUAAUGUCUGGGAAACUGCCUGAUGGAGGGGGAUAACUACUGGAAACGGUAGCUAAUACCGCAUAACGUCGCAAUACCAACGAGGGGGACCUUCGGGCCUCUUGCCAUCAGAUGUGCCCAGAUGGGAUUAGCUAGUAGGUGGGGUAAUGGCUCACCUAGGCGACGAACCCUAGCUGGUCUGAGAGGAUGACCAGCCACACUGGAACUGAGACACGGUCCAGACUCCUACGGGAGGCAGCAGUGGGGAAUAUUGCACAAUGGGCGCAAGCCUGAUGCAGCCAUGCCGCGUGUAUGAAGAAGGCCUUCGGGUUGUAAAGUACUUUCAGCGGGGAGGAAGGUGUUGAGGUUAAUAACCUGAGCAAUUGACGUUACCCGCAGAAGAAGCACCGGCUAACUCCGUGCCAGCCGCCGCCGUAA
rnacentral:rRNA from 1 species